CUCGGACGGAGCUCUCAACUCGGAGCUCUCAACGUGUCUGGCCUCCUCACCCUGCCGAGGCCUCGCAGGUCACCCCCACCCCACCCCUAUCCGCGUAGGCCCGAUCCCGUGUUCUCAGCCGCCUCCCUCCGCCUGCGGGGCCCUUGCUUCCCCUCCGGGCUGCUGGCGUGUAGGUUUAAAGCAGACGGUCGUCCGGGCUUUUUUGUCUGACCUUUAACCUGAGCCGUGGGGGUUGGGGCCGCUGGUCUUGGGCACGCGCGAUCGAUCAUUCGGGGCGCGUGUGGUGACCGUUGGCCGGGGCUGCGGCGUGGUCAAGCUGCUCGGUGAGGACGCGGCUGCCGACCUCCUGUCCGAGGGCUGGCUGCAGGGUGCGGGUGGGGUGGGCUCAGGUCCUGAGAGCCGAAGGGGCUGAGGGAUGAACGUCCGGGCGGCAGCGGGCGGCAGGGGGAGGCGGGGCUGGGCGUCCCUGGGGCUACUGCCCGGUCGCCAGUUCUCGGAGAACCGCAGGCCACACCCGCCUACAAGGGGUGGGCAGAGUGUGGGUUCCCCUGCUCUCUGGCCGUUAGCGUGGAUCAAGCACAAGGAAAUAAUGGCAAAUACCUUAUUCGGGGUGGUUUACAACCUCAUCUGUAACAUUCUCGUGUUGCCCGCUGCAUUUCCAAUGUAUUACAUAAUAAGGACAUGGUCGCUUUUAGGAGAAAUGUCUGAAAAACUGAGAAGAUGCAGAAAGGAGCUGACCGCAGCCAUUGACCGGGCCUUUGAAGGAGUCAGUCAUUCCCAGGAGUGCUCAGGCCAGCCGAGGCUGGAGCUGGACACGGCGCCGCUUUCCUUCCACCUCCCCGUGCACCGGCUUCUCUGCAGGAGGCAGCCGCUUGCAGCCUGCUCUCCUGCUGCUCCCUUUGCUCCUGUCCUGUGUGCUCCAGAGAAUGAGAGCCCUGCCUUUGCCCCAAACCAUGCCCCAAUGAAUGCAAAGCCACAGGCUUUAUGCCCCAAAAGAAAACCUCUGACCAGCAAGGAAAACGUAUUGUUGCAUUCCUCCAUUUUGGCACCCGAAAGACAGUUUUGGAGAGCGACAGGAGAUGGGGAGAACUGGAGAAAAGACAGUAUAAGCUUCAGGGAAGAUAUGGAGAAAGAUUUGAAGGUUGACUCAAACAUGCCACUCAGCACUUCUAGCCAAGAGGUCACAAAGGAUCUGCUUGAUAUGAUCGACCAUACAAGUAUCCGAACUAUUGAAGAAUUGGCUGGAAAACUAGAAUUUGAAAAUGAGUUGAACCGUGUGUGUGGUCACUGUGAGGAUUCGCCCUUCAAGGAGGAAGCCUGGGCUCUGCUUGUGGACGAGAGCCCUCAGAAGGCCUCGGAUGCUGACCCUGGCAGCCUCAAGCAGGCUUUUGAUGAUCACAAUAUCGUUGAGACUGUUCUGGACAUGGAAGAGGACUACAACUUGAUGACCUCUUUUAAAUACCAAAUUGAGUAAGGGCAGUUGACCUUGGCUUUGAUUCUUUGCAGCAGGAGGCUGAUGUUAAGGCGUCUGUACAGAAGCAGUCACAGUCAUCAUCAGCUGCCAUAGUUUUUAAACGUUCAUCUUGGCAAGCCAAACAAUCACUGAAUUGUUUCCGUGGAAACACCAAACUGCAGUUUGGAUUAGCAGAAUCAAAAUAGAAACAAGACAGCUUCAAGAAUAAAUAGGAGCUUUGGAACCUGCUAGGCGCAAACUGCAAAUUCAAGCCCUUGCACAAGGCAUGUGCGAAGUUGGGCCGUGCAGCCCCAUAAGGAGAGAUUUCUAGGUCCCCUGGCUGCAUCCCUCUGGUGUCAGUGCCAGAGCCCUAGGAACCAGCUAUGUAUACAGACUGGUAGGCUGACUUUGUAACAAUACUUAAGGCAGAAGUUCAUCUGUAGAAGCUCCUUGGAGAGAGGAUUGGGGCUGGAGGGGAAGACUGAGGAAGAAGGGACCGGAAAAAGGAGAUGAGUGAAUGGCUGAGUGAAGAUCCAGCAAGGACUAGAGAGCCACAGGCGAGGCCUGAGAACAGAGCAACAAUCCUAUCAAAAGGACAAUUCGAAGUUGGCCAUGGGUUGGGAAUGGUAAUCCUACCUUCAGCUCUGUCCACAAUUGCAGUGUUCCCCACAUUCCUGGGUAUGGCUAUCUAGCCACACGGGUCUAGACAAGAGUCUGAACUCUUGCCAGGUGCACUCUUGGGGCACUUCUGGUUAGUAUGCCUCUGCCCCGUAUGACUCCAGCCAGCACAAUAGGGCACUAAGGCCCAGCUUCUCAUCUCUGGCUCUCAGGGUUCCCCUUCCCCUGCCUCUUGUUCCCCUCACUAGGGGAAGAGGGAAGCCACCUUCUGACCUACCUGCCCUGGCCCCUUGGCAUUCUCCUGGAUCCUCCACUUCCAAUCCCAGAGAAGACUCCAAGGGGAUCAGGAAGAAGGAGACAGACAACCCGGGAGCCUGUGCUCCUCACCUUUGCACCCAGGAAUGUGCCAAUAGGGCAGCAGCACCAUCCUGCCACUGGAGAAGUUGUAAACUGCUAAUGUUCAAAGAAACUGGUGAAAAGGAUUUGCAAAAGAAGCCUAAUUCAGGCCAAUCUCCCUCCUCCUGAAUGGCCAGGCCAGGGCUCACCUGGGACCAGAGUGGUACCUCCUCUAACUGAGGCACAAGACGUUUAACAUGCCUGUGAAGACCAGUGAAUGAGGCAUACCAACAAAGGAGGCCACUGUACCUGAUUGUAGACAAUUACUGAAAAGGUUCUCAUCCUGAGUCUAUCUGAGGCUCUGGCAAUUUACUUUCUCCCUGGAGUAUGUGGGAGAACAUUAAUUUAAUUUUACGUUCCAGCUAAAUAUUUAUAGAAGGAACAAAGUUUUACUCAGGAAAUCUACUUGACAAUGGGUCCCAGCUGUAGUGGGAAAGGCCUCUCUGUGCUAGGCCAGCUGGAAAAUGCCUGAUUUAAUGAAGAGUUUUGGCCUAAGGCCUGGCUUGAAAAAAUUUUCAAACCUGCUCAACCCUUACAGGAAGUAACUAUCUUUUUGAGGGCAGAAAGGCUGCUGUUUUCUGGGCACUUUGAGUGGAGAGGGGUUGCUGGGAGCUGGCCUGGGAGAGAGAAGUGGGCAUCUUGCAGGAGACCCCACAUCAGGAGCCCUUUGCAGCUUCUGAGACAAAACAUGAAAAAGAGAAGUUGUAAAGGAAUGCUAGAGAGACCAGACUUUCAGGACAGGGCUGCAAGGAGCUGUUUGAAUGAAAAGCAAGCAAUCUCUGCCCUCAAUAAGUAUUUAUCAAGUGUCUACUAGAGUGUCAGACACUCUCUUGGGUGCUGAGGAUACAGCAGGGACAAGGCAGAUGCUGCUCUUGCUUCUGGAGUUUAUAUUCCACAUGGCAAGGCUGGUAAAACACAAGUAUAUGCAUUAGUACAUCAUUUCAGAUGGAGUUGUAUGAGAAAAAAUAGGGUAAGGGGAUGGACAGUGAGUAGGGAGAGUUCCUUCAGAAGAGGAGAGGUCAGGAAAAGGCCUCUAUAGGUGACAAACUGAUACUCGAAUGUCAGGACAAUUAGGUGCUGCAGCUGACUUGAUUUCCAUCCUCAGACAGCUGGAAUUGUAUCAGAGGGAGGAGCCCCUAGGUGGCUCUCUGGGCCCUAGGCCAAUAAACCUCCCACAUCCACCCUGUGUAGCCACAUCUCUAUCAGCAUCUGAAGAGCCAAAAACAUUGCACACUCCAGGGAUGUGCCUGGGCUAUGUCACGCUCAUCAAAUCUGGCAGGAACACAGUAGUUAAAAAAAUAAUAAUAAAAAAUUAAAAGCCUUAGGAAUAAAAUAAGAAACAGAAUAUCCUUUCCUGAUGAUUGCCAGAGACAGGCAGUGUAAUUUUAAUUAACCCAGCCUGGUUAGGAGAUAAAUUUACUGCUCAUUCUACAAAAACACCCAGUUCAUGGAACACUGAGUCACUCUGACCUUUGACUUCAUUACACAAAAUGAAAUACUUCUAAAGAAAUACAGGAUUUCAUAACUCACAGAAGAACAGAGGGUCCUGCUUUGGCAUUCCAAAGUCGAACAGACCCUUCAAUGAGAAGGCCACAGUCAUAAAUACUAAUGGAGUUCUCUCAACAGGGUCUCAACUUUGAAUUAAAAUUAUUAAACUUUUCAACUUAGGGUAGUAAAAGAUUUCCAGAUACAGACUCCUCUCGUCUACAAGCCUUAUUCUAACCCCUCGACAGCUACUUGUAGUCAGUAUGGGAAGGGCUGAAAGGAACCUUUUGCAUGGCUGGGCUCCUUCCUCCUGUGCCUUCCUUGCACAAGCAGAGAACACCAGGAGGCAAGGCAGUGAAGGCUGGGUGUACAGACAUCCAGUGAGGCCCACAGGGAGAGAAGAGGCCAGGGCAGCCUGAGGCAGAGCCCAAGUGUGUACUUGUCCUUGGCCUCAGAGAAGGCUGCUGCCAUUCCCUGUGGCUCCCAGCUACAGGUCACAGGAGGCCCUUAGUCUGGAAAUGAGAGUGAGAGCUUAGGCUGGUGCCUGGUACCCUUGCCAAAGGUGUCCCAGGCAAAUUAAACUCCCCCAGACUUUGGUGGGAUACACACCCCUGAAAAUAAAAUAAAAAUAAGAAAUCAACCAUUGCUUUCACUCAGAGGCCCCAAUGUCAUUUACUGUACUGGUUUGAAAAUGGGGAAAUUCUGGAAACUGUCCAUCUCAUGAGAAUUUUUACUGUCAUAGAAUAAAGAAAAAGAAAAACAA